GACGGUCUUGCUGUCACUUAUAGAUGGAUCCGCGCUGCAUUAGCUAGUUGGUAAGGUAACGGCUUACCAAGGCAACGAUGCAUAGCCGACCUGAGAGGGUGAUCGGCCACACUGGAACUGAGACACGGUCCAGACUCCUACGGGAGGCAGCAGUAGGGAAUCUUCCGCAAUGGGCGAAAGCCUGACGGAGCAACGCCGCGUGAGUGAUGAAGGUCUUCGGAUCGUAAAACUCUGUUAUUAGGGAAGAACAUAUGUGUAAGUAACUGUGCACAUCUUGACGGUACCUAAUCAGAAAGCCACGGCUAACUACGUGCCAGCAGCCGCGGUAAUACGUAGGUGGCAAGCGUUAUCCGGAAUUAUUGGGCGUAAAGCGCGCGUAGGCGGUUUUUUAAGUCUGAUGUGAAAGCCCACGGCUCAACCGUGGAGGGUCAUUGGAAACUGGAAAACUUGAGUGCAGAAGAGGAAAGUGGAAUUCCAUGUGUAGCGGUGAAAUGCGCAGAGAUAUGGAGGAACACCAGUGGCGAAGGCGACUUUCUGGUCUGUAACUGACGCUGAUGUGC
rnacentral:rRNA from 1 species